AUAUGCCCAGGUGGGAUUAGCUAGUUGGUGAGGUAAGGGCUCACCAAGGCAACGAUCCCUAGCUGGUCUGAGAGGAUGAUCAGCCACACUGGAACUGAGACACGGUCCAGACUCCUACGGGAGGCAGCAGUGGGGAAUAUUGCACAAUGGGCGCAAGCCUGAUGCAGCCAUGCCGCGUGUAUGAAGAAGGCCUUCGGGUUGUAAAGUACUUUCAGCAGUGAGGAAGGUUCAUGCGUUAAUAGCGUAUGGAUUUGACGUUAGCUGCAGAAGAAGCACCGGCUAACUCCGUG
rnacentral:rRNA from 1 species